GUCAAGUGAAGAAGCGCAUACGGUGGAUGCCUUGGCAGUCAGAGGCGAUGAAAGACGUGGUAGCCUGCGAAAAGCUUCGGGGAGUCGGCAAACAGAGUUUGAUCCGGAGAUCUCUGAAUGGGGGAACCCACCUAGGAUAACCUAGGUAUCUUGUACUGAAUCCAUAGGUGCAAGAGGCGAACCAGGGGAACUGAAACAUCUAAGUACCCUGAGGAAAAGAAAUCAACCGAGAUUCCCUUAGUAGUGGCGAGCGAACGGGGAUUAGCCCUUAAGCUUCAUUGAUUUUAGCGGAACGCUCUGGAAAGUGCGGCCAUAGUGGGUGAUAGCCCCGUACGCGAAAGGAUCUUUGAAGUGAAAUCGAGUAGGACGGAGCACGAGAAACUUUGUCUGAACAUGGGGGGACCAUCCUCCAAGGCUAAAUACUACUGACUGACCGAUAGUGAACCAGUACCGUGAGGGAAAGGCGAAAAGAACCCCGGAGAGGGGAGUGAAAUAGAACCUGAAACCGUAUGCGUACUAGCAGUGGGAGCCUACUUGUUAGGUGACUGCGUACCUUUUGUAUAAUGGGUCAGCGACUUAUAUUCAGUGGCAAGCUUAACCGUAUAGGGUAGGCGUAGCGAAAGCGAGUCUUAAUAGGGCGUUUAGUCGCUGGGUAUAGACCCGAAACCGGGCGAUCUAUCCAUGAGCAGGUUGAAGGUUAGGUAACACUGACUGGAGGACCGAACCCACUCCCGUUGAAAAGGUAGGGGAUGACUUGUGGAUCGGAGUGAAAGGCUAAUCAAGCUCGGAGAUAGCUGAUUCUCCUCGAAAGCUAUUUAGGUAGCGCCUCAUGUAUCACUCUGGGGGGUAGAGCACUGUUUCGGCUAGGGGGUCAUCCCGACUUACCAAACCGAUGCAAACUCCGAAUACCCAGAAGUGCCGAGCAUGGGAGACACACGGCGGGUGCUAACGUCCGUCGUGAAAAGGGAAACAACCCAGACCGCCAGCUAAGGUCCCAAAGUUGUGGUUAAGUGGUAAACGAUGUGGGAAGGCUUAGACAGCUAGGAGGUUGGCUUAGAAGCAGCCACCCUUUAAAGAAAGCGUAAUAGCUCACUAGUCGAGUCGGCCUGCGCGGAAGAUGUAACGGGGCUCAAACCACACACCGAAGCUGCGGGUGUCACGUAAGUGACGCGGUAGAGGAGCGUUCUGUAAGCCUGUGAAGGUGAGUUGAGAAGCUUGCUGGAGGUAUCAGAAGUGCGAAUGCUGACAUGAGUAACGACAAUGGGUGUGAAAAACACCCACGCCGAAAGACCAAGGGUUCCUGCGCAACGUUAAUCGACGCAGGGUUAGUCGGUUCCUAAGGCGAGGCUGAAAAGCGUAGUCGAUGGGAAACAGGUUAAUAUUCCUGUACUUCUGGUUACUGCGAUGGAGGGACGGAGAAGGCUAGGCCAGCUUGGCGUUGGUUGUCCAAGUUUAAGGUGGUAGGCUGAAAUCUUAGGUAAAUCCGGGGUUUCAAGGCCGAGAGCUGAUGACGAGUCGUCUUUUAGAUGACGAAGUGGUUGAUGCCAUGCUUCCAAGAAAAGCUUCUAAGCUUCAGGUAACCAGGAACCGUACCCCAAACCGACACAGGUGGUCGGGUAGAGAAUACCAAGGCGCUUGAGAGAACUCGGGUGAAGGAACUAGGCAAAAUGGCACCGUAACUUCGGGAGAAGGUGCGCCGGCUAGGGUGAAGGAUUUACUCCGUAAGCUCUGGCUGGUCGAAGAUACCAGGCCGCUGCGACUGUUUAUUAAAAACACAGCACUCUGCAAACACGAAAGUGGACGUAUAGGGUGUGACGCCUGCCCGGUGCCGGAAGGUUAAUUGAUG
rnacentral:rRNA from 1 species